CAUUAGCACAGAGCCUGUUUAUUACCACUGGUCUGUAGGCUCAGCAUUGCAAAUAAUUAUCUCUUUUGUCCUUGCUGGAAAAGCAAGAUCUAAUAUCUUUGUCGUACAAAGUAUUAUGUUGGACAGAUAAAGACGGGACAGUGAGAAUUCCCAACAUGCCAGUUUGAACAGGAACCUGGCAAUUUCAGCUCACUGUGUAAUCCUUUGGACCACCAAGUUGGACACCCACCCGAAGUCUCUUGGUAUAUUCCUGGAUGAUGGUGUUGCUGACCAGGCAGCAUUUAUUGCCCAGACGGCUGUUAAGAGUCAACCACAUCGCUGAGGGUCUGGAGUCACAUGUAGGCCAGACCAGUUCUCUGGAGGAAUUGUGACAGGCUAUUUGAAUGACUUGAUGACAUCACUACAGCUCCACAUUGGGAACUGUCAUUAAAGAAUGGUACAAUUCAGGGCAUAGAAGAAACUAAAGUUUUCACAGAGCAGAAGAUUGCUUAGGAAGGCUUGCUUGGAGGUCACUGAUGAGUGCCUUUGCUUUACCAUGGAGUACAAAA